rnacentral:rRNA from 1 species
UACGAAGGGGGCUAGCGUUGUUCGGAUUUACUGGGCGUAAAGCGCACGUAGGCGGAUCGUUAAGUCGGGGGUGAAAUCCUGGAGCUCAACUCCAGAACUGCCUUUGAUACUGGCAAUCUCGAGUCCGGAAGAGGUGAGUGGAACUCCUAGUGUAGAGGUGGAAUUCGUAGAUAUUAGGAAGAACACCAGUGGCGAAGGCGGCUCACUGGUCCGGUACUGACGCUGAGGUGCGAAAGCGUGGGGAGCAAACAGGG